rnacentral:rRNA from 1 species
AGUAAACGUUGGCGGUGUGCGUAACACAUGCAAGUCGAACGAACCUUAGGUGGCUUGCCAUUUAAGGAAAGUGGCGAACGGGUGAGUAACACGUGAGUAAUCUGCCCUCGAGUGAGGAAUAACUUCGCGAAAGCGGAGCUAAUACCGCAUAAUACUGUGAAGCAUAUGCUUUCACAGUCAAAGCCCUUCGGGGUGCUUGAGGAUGAGCUUGCGGCUUAUUAGCUAGUUGGUAGGGUAACGGCCUACCAAGGUAAUGAUGAGUAGCCGGCCUGAGAGGGUGUACGGCCACACUGGAACUGCGACACGGUCCAG